CUCGGCUCAACCGAGAAACUGCCAUUGAUACUGUAAGGCUUGAAUAUAGUUGAAGUAGGCGGAAUACGACAUGUAGCGGUGAAAUGCAUAGAUAUGUCGUGGAACACCGAUCGCGAAGGCAGCUUACUAAGCUAUUAUUGACGCUGAUGUACGAAAGCGUGGGGAGCGAACAG
rnacentral:rRNA from 1 species